rnacentral:rRNA from 1 species
CAGCCGCCGCGGGAAUACGAAGGGGGCUAGCGUUGCUCGGAAUGACUGGGCGUAAAGGGCGCGUAGGCGGAUCACGCAGUCAGAUGUGAAAUUCCUGGGCUUAACCUGGGGGCUGCAUUUGAGACGCGUGGUCUAGAGUGUGAAAGAGGGUCGUGGAAUUCCCAGUGUAGAGGUGAAAUUCGUAGAUAUUGGGAAGAACACCGGUGGCGAAGGCGGCGACCUGGUUCAUGACUGACGCUGAGGCGCGAAAGCGUGGGGAGCAAACAGGAUUAGAGACCCCUGUAGUCCCUGUCUUUAUACA